UGAGUAGCUAAACCCCAUUAGCCAAGGCGACGGAGGAAGCCAUUGUUCCACAUUAAUUGAGGUAUUCGAGAAUGGAAAAAGGUACACUUUGGUCAAGUGGAUGAUCACAUAUAAGAAACUCAAGCUAAAAUCAUGAGGCCCAGAAACAUUCAGGAAUGGGAUCAGAGUCUUAUCACUCACCUUCAAGAAGAAUUACAGAAAUGGUACCAAAUUAAGGCAGACAUUAGAUUUCAACAGUCUCGAGAGAAGUUACUUCAGAACCAGGACAAGAAUACGAAGUUCUUUCAUGCUAAGGAAAAUUUUAGAAGACGACGAAAUCAAAUUGACUCAAUCAAGGAUAAUAAUAGUAACUGGUUCAAUACUCGAGAGGAAAUACAAAAUCUGCUUUUAUCACAUUUCAGUUCUAUUACAACAACUAGUAAGCCAAAGAGAAUGCAGAGAUUCUAGGACUGAUUAAUCCUUGUAUCUCUCAAGAUGACAAUGAACCUCUUAUAGAAAUACCCAGUAAGGAGGAAAUAAGACAUGUGGUUUUUCAGAUGAGGGCAUGGGCUUCUCCGGGACCUGACGGCUUUCAGAAAGGGUUUUAUCAAAUCUCUUGGGAGGAGGUUUCUGAUGAUCCAGUGGCUAUGGUUCAACACUUCUUCAGAACAUGUUAUCUACUUAAACAACUAAACUACACUUAUCAAGUUCUUAUUCCAAAAAAACUAUGUGUUGAAACACCAUCAGAUUUUCGCCCUAUUGGCUUAUGUAAUAUUUCUUAUAAGGUUAUAUCCAAGACAUUAGCUAAUAGAUUAAAAAAACACCUUCAUAAUAUCA